rnacentral:rRNA from 1 species
AUUGAACGCUGGCGGCAGGCCUAACACAUGCAAGUCGAGCGGAUGAAGGGAGCUUGCUCCUGGAUUCAGCGGCGGACGGGUGAGUAAUGCCUAGGAAACUGCCUGGUAGUGGGGGAUAACGUCCGGAAACGGGCGCUAAUACCGCAUACGUCCUGAGGGAGAAAGUGGGGGAUCUUCGGACCUCACGCUAUCAGAUGAGCCUAGGUCGGAUUAGCUAGUUGGUGGGGUAAAGGCCUACCAAGGCGACGAUCCGUAACUGGUCUGAGAGGAUGAUCAGUCACACUGGAACUGAGACACGGUCCAGACUCCUACGGGAGGCAGCAGUGGGGAAUAUUGGACAAUGGGCGAAAGCCUGAUCCAGCCAUGCCGCGUGUGUGAAGAAGGUCUUCGGAUUGUAAAGCACUUUAAGUUGGGAGGAAGGGCAGUAAGUUAAUACCUUGCUGUUUUGACGUUACCAACAGAAUAAGCACCGGCUAACUUCGU